UUAUUAUUAUUAUUAUUAUUAUUAUUAUACAUGCUGUGUGAAAAACACUUUUAUCUGUACUGAAUCUCCCAGCAUUCAGCUUUGUUGGGUAUCCAAGAGUUCACACACUAUUCCAAACAUAUCAUAAUGACAUUAUGACAUCAGCAGUUUUAUUUUCAGUUCCUUUCCUAGUGAACUCUAGCAUGGAUUUUGCCUCUUUCCCCUCUUUUUUUUUUUACAGUUGCUGCACACUGGGACAGAGGACAGAGACUGGGGGACAGAGUGUGGGAGAGAAUGGCAAAGGGAGGCACAACACAAAAAGAGACUUUACGUCAAAAGCCCUCAAAUGGUAUAUCAAUAUAUCUCUGCUUUUUUCCAACUUUGGCACUGAACUUCAAGCAUCUCUUUUUUUUGUGAGAACGGGGGGGGGGGAACACUGGGCUUUUUCUUUCUAUUAAUGCUUCUGUCAUGCUGUGACUUGUUCCACAUGACUUCUUUCUCCACGCAUUAUUUUUAGCUGGCAGCUUUGUAGUCUGGGCUUACCUGUAAGAAGAGCUCAUCUUGGAAAAGCCCUUUCCCUCCCCACACCCAGCCUGCAUGGAAGGCCUUUAAAGUUGCCCAUUAAAACGUGUGUCAUUCUGUGAGGGAAAGGAAUCCACAAGAAGAACUGGGAGAUCAUUUGUAUCUGGGUUUGCUUCCCAUCGGUUUCUAGGUCGAGUCCUCUCCUUGUAAUUGUCCUUGUUUCCUUUAAGAUAGCUUCACAAUUCAUGAAUCAUUCAGAGGUGUACAGCCAUAAAUAGGCAGCUUCUCUGAGGCAUCAUGAGGGCCAUAAGACUGCUUAUCUUGGAGACAGUCCUUGUCAUGCUUUUUACCACUUACAUAUAUUUUUUACAGGAAACCUUGCCUGGUUUUGCUAUUCUUAAGUUAAAUGCACUACAAAAGACUGACACUGGCCUCCGCUUCUGGUAAAGUUAUUAAAAGGCUUAAAGAUCUCGUUGUCUGGAGAAACAGAUGCUUUCUCUUACUGCACACCAUAGAUAAUAUGAAAGAUGGGCAUAAAGUAGUGUUUUCCGAAACAGAAGAUUGGGGACCUGAAUAACCUAGUUUGAUUUCCAAGCAGGGCUGGCCCCUGUCAUUUCGCUGCUUGAGGCAAAAUGUCUCCUCCUCAUUCUGCAUAAAGAUGCCAAUUAGCCUUCAGACCUGGAAAACGGAGCUCUCCAAAUGUUGUUGGACUGUAACUCCCAUCAGCCCCAGACAGCGUUGCCCCACUGUUGUCCCAGGGAUGAUGGGGGUUACAGUUUUUUUAAAAAUCUGCAAAAACACACCACAUGAAAAACUGAAAAGGAUAGGAAAUAGGUGAUCUGGUCUUCCCUAACUGUACAGUGGACGCUCGGGUUGCGAGUGUGAUCCGUGUGGGAUGCACAUUCGCAACCCGCAGUGUUCGCAACCUGUGUCUGCAAGUCUGUGCACGCAUGGGUUGCGAUUGGGCGCUUCUGCGCAUGCGCAACCGCAGAAACCCGGAAGUAACUCAUUCCGGUACUUCCAGGUUUCGGCAGUCCACGACCCGAAAAAACGGAACCUGAAGCGGCUGUAACCUGAGGUAUGACUGUAUUGUUAUUUGAACCACUUUAGCCUGCCCUGAGAUCUUUGGAUGCAAGGUGUCUGUAGGUUUGUUCUGAAGCAAACAAAAAUGCACAGCAGCGACCCAUCCCCAUGGGCUUUCUUUGCCUUCAUGCUACUCCUCCUGAAUUUAAAAUGUCUGCCAGAGCUGAAGUAUGUGCUCCAUGCCACUUCCUUCGAUUCACUUGAAGUUCCCUGCUCCACACUAUUUAAUAGAAGUGUACACUGAGAAAGCACAGCAAAAAAACAGUGAUGGAAUGUAUGAUUGCAUUCUAUGUGGGGCUAUCUUUGAAGGUGGCUCAGAAUCUAAAGCUAAUCCAGAAUGUGGCUGCCAAACUGGUGCCUGGUGACUCAGCUACACUGACACAAAGAAAGUGCUUCAUAUGCGUUGUACUUGCAUUAUUACACUGAGACACCAGGUGGCGCUGUGGAGUUCCAUUUUUGCCAACCUGAUUUCUCAUACAACAUUUACAAUGCGUUUAACUGAAACGUUUCUUUGAUGUGUCUAGAUCCAACCUGGGAGUGGCCACCGGGACCAUAUAACACCAGUCCUAAGGGAUCUACAUUGGCUCUCAGUCAGUUUCCAAGCACAAUUCAAAGUGUUGGUGCGGACCUUCAAAACCCUAAACGGCCUCAGCCCUGUAUACCUGAAGAAGCUUCUCCACCCCCAUCGUUCAGCCCGGACACUGAGGUCCUCCUCCGAGGGUCUUCUGCUGGUUCCCUCACUCAGAGAAGCAAAGUUACAGGGAACCAGGCAGAGGGCCUUCUCGGUAGUGGCACCCACCCUGUGGAACACCUUCCCAUCAGAUGUCAAGGAG
rnacentral:lncRNA from 1 species